rnacentral:tRNA from 1 species
CGGUUCGUCUUCCGUAGGAAGCGAACCUCCUGACACGGCGAAGGUCGCAGGUUCGAAUCCUGCCGAGCCCA